rnacentral:lncRNA from 1 species
GAAUACAGUCGAAUAUCACUGUAUUUUGUGAUUUUUUGUUGUUUGAAUACAGUUGAAUUGAAUACAAUGUAUAAUAGUGAAUAAUGAAUAUACAUGAAUUGAAUACAAUGUAUACAAUCGAAUUGAAUAGAACGGUAUACACCCUAUUUCUUGAUUACCUCAUUGUAUUUAUAAAUACAAUUGCGAGAAUACAUGAAAUACAACACAGUAGUAGCGAAAUUAUGUAGAAUUGAUUUUUUUGAGUUAAAUUAUGAGUGAUACACGCUAAUUGAUCCUCUUUUCGUUAUUAAACAACUGGAUUCUCCUGUUUUUGGGCGAAUUUUGCUACUGUAUUCAUGAGUACAGUAGCGCGAAUACAACAAAUACAGUCGCACAUCUGGAUUCCCCUAUUUUAGGCGAAUUUCGCUACUGUAUUCAUGAAUAUAGUAGCAUGAAUAUAACGAAAACAGUCGCAUAACAACUAAAUAAUAGUUUUAGGAAGUAAUUAUGUAUAUGGUAGUUAUAGGAAGUUAAUAACCACUAAACAAUAAUGGUUUCUGAAAAUUCCUCAUAAAUCUAUUGUCCUGUCUUCUCAAAAUAGUUGGUAUACCUCACAAAAACAUCUCCUCACAAAAACAAACAACAACCUUCUUCCAAACUACUUGCAACGACGCUCAAUAAGAUGCUAACCUUCUUGCAAUGCUACACUUGAUUUUGCCGAAGCCUUGGAAUUCCUGCCUCUUCCCGUUGGAGUUCUUCACCGAGAAAAACUUCUCUCCCUUUUCAUCUGUACCAAAUCCUACAAUCAGGAGGGCAUGUUCGGAUCUAGCCUCCCUCUCCACUAUUUCUUACUCAGUGGCACCCGUAUAGACCUCCUGAAAUUUAUUUUUAAGUAAGCCAAUUAGACAAAGCAGAACCUGUAAUUGGCUAAAUGUACAAAUAAAAAUGUAACUAUUCACCUCUCUUGUGUGUCUUUGAAAGCUAGGAUAAUGAGUUAUAGCACAUGUGAUAUACUGUUUCCUGAUAAGUUCUUCAAUGGCCUUUUCAUCCAAUUUGACACCUCCAUAUAGUCAGAUAUCUUGACAUAUUUAUCCUUCUUCUGCAUCAUAAAAUCUACAAAAGUUAGAGAGAAAAAACAAGAAACCAACAAGAACAAAAAACAGAUAUUAAUCAAUUAUUCUUACAAAAUUCACUUGACAAUGACCCCUUUCCAUUGUGUAUUUAUAUGACCUUUCUUCAACAAUUUCGAAAUCCUUUGCAUAAGUUUAAGCCAUUAUAGACGAGCCAGGAAAACACUCAUUGUAAAGAAUAGCAGAAGAAAAGUAUUAUUGGAGGCCUUGUGCUAGCCCAAGAUCGUUAGUUAAGAUUGGAGGAUUCAACUAAAGAAGAGAAAGCUUGAAAAGAGAAGAGAGAAUAGAGUUUUUAGAUAGAAGAACUUGUUUAGGAAAGAAAGACUUUCUUGAUUUUUUGGCUUAGUCAAAAAUGCCUAGGCCACCCCUAUUUAUAUUUCUCUAAGGAUGGUCCUAGAUAAUAUUCUAGAACAUGUACAAGAAAGUUC